CUGGUCCUAGAAAUCCCCGCAGGGGGACACAGUGCAUCUGUGCGAGGGAUGACGUAACCAUCCUCUGAGAACCAGAGCAUCUUUUCCAAUAUUAAUUGGGCUCCAAGUAAUUAAGUUUGGAUAUUUUCCUCAGUAGGAGACUAAGCUUCUUUCCUCCUUCAGUUCCCUCCCAAAUAUAAGCAUAGGAUGAACUUUUGGUCUUUCUGCCUGGUCCCUUACCAAAGAUUAAGAAAAAACAAACCCCACCCUACCUGAGUCUGCAGAGGAGCUGAAAGAGCUGCUUUGCUUAUACAAGUGCCUUGGGUCCACCCGGAAGUGAGCAGUGUGGCCUCUGCUCAGUGCCCGUGUGCGGGGAAGUGGCGGGUACAGCAUGGUUCAGCUGCCCCCAGUGCCUCCUCCGAGGCUCCGCUCGCCACACCUGGGGACUUGGCACCUGCUCGCCUGGCUCCUCCUGUCUCUGUGUUUCCAGGGACUUGUGCGAUCCUUGUUUCUCUCACCCGUUAAGCUGCGGCUUCUCCCUGCCUCCCUCUUUCCCCGGGUUAGUUAAUUUGAAUUCCAGGUGAACAAGGAAGAACUUGUAAGUGAUUAUGUAAGUAUCAGUAUACUAAAAACUUCUUAUACUACAAAGCAUUUAUUGCUUAUCUGAAAUUCAAAUCUGACUAGGCACCCUGUGUUUGAUUGGCUGACCCUGGUCUCACCGGGCCCUUAGUGAAAGCACAAGCCACACCACCUUCACCAGUUCCCUGUCAUUCGGGAACUUGUGUUCGUUUCCACUCUGUUUCUCUGUUUCCACCUCUCUUUGUGCACUUAGGCUCUGGGCUGAUGCUGGGAGGAAAACGCAGCCCCUGUGAGUGGACACAGCACCCGGGCUUUCAGCAGCAGACACCCAGCGCAUCCCCAGCACAUCAGUUUGGCUCUCCCAGGACUCUAAGUCUAAGCUUUCUGGACCCUCAGAGAAGUUUUGGGUCCUGCACUCGCUCUGCUGUCUCAGUGCUGCUUCGUGCUACUACAGCCCCUUCUGCUUUAUGGACCACAUGUCAACCAAGUCUAGAGAAAAAGAUGGUGAUGUCACUGGACUGUUUACAUUUUCAUGUUGUUGGAUUCAAACUGGGAAAAGGAAACUGCGGCUGUGGCUCUGAAGAGGAGUUAAGUAUGAUUAGUGCAAUGGCUGAAGACUGGUCAGGGCAUAAUUUCUCAUUUUAAACAGAGAGCCCUGGACUCCAACUUGGGAGGCCUUAGCUGGCUCUGCCACUGGCUUUCCUAAGUCACUUCAAGCUUUGGUAACAGUUUUUUUUGUACAUGAUGUGUGGAUGAUCCCCAUGCCCUAGUUGUGUGGGGGAGUAUCUGAUGAGAUAAUCACAGGGAACGUGCUUGAAAAAAGAUGAAAUGUCCUACAGUGCCUGGCCUCUGAAAAGGGAAUGUCACUGGGCAUUUUUAAAUUGUUCUCGGGGCUUCCUCCCCUGGGUUGAAAAGGGGUUGGAGGAACUAACAUUUGCCUUUACUAGGGAUGCCAGAUAGAACAGCAGACAUUCAGCUGAAUUUGCCUAUCAGAUGAACAAUGACUAAUUUUAGCAUAAGUAUAUCCCACCUGUUGCAUGGGAUGUACUUAUACUAAACAUUACUUGUUGUUCUUGUGAGAUUCAGAUUUAACUGGGCAUUCUAUAUUUUUGUGGCUCUAUCUGGCAAACCUAGCUUUCUUGCCUUUGGUCUAGAAGGGAUCACCUUCUUUCUUUCCAUGUCCUACCAAGACCCAAGAUCUCAGCCCCUGGCUGUGGCUACGAGCUUAGCCAUGGGCUGCGGGUGGCACUUAAGAGUCAGAUGUUCAGCUCUAGAUAUUGAUCCACAUUUGCACACCAUUUUUUACUUGGGUGCCUGGGCAAGUCACUUAACCUUGCCAAGCCUCAGUGUUCACAGCUCUAAAACAAACAUCAGAACUCACCCUAUAAAGCUGUUCUGAGGGUACAACAAGCUGAUGUGCAUUUUUGGAAAGCUUUAAGGCACCAGGAACAGUAGUGUUUCCAUGCACUUUGCUCUGGGAAGCACAGUCUUAUACUUACAUACUUGAUCUCUGUGCCAUGAAGGGAUGGCUAGUGGCAGCAAUACAACAGCUUGAACAUGUUUUCCAACAAAAAAAAUCGACACGUUCUACUUCCCCCUAAUUUAAGAUUUCAAUGUCUUUCAUUGGCUUCAUGUGUUUUGUCAGUAAAUAUUGUAAACAUGCCUUUGUCUAUUGCUUGCAGGAGCUGUGUUUCUAGUUCAAGUUUCAGAGCAGUCCCUGCAUGCCUGACCCUUCAAGGAGCACCCACUUUGCGGCCCUGACACUUAGAAAACCCAGUCAGAGGCCGGGUGCAGUGGCUCACGCCUGUAAUCUCAGCACUUUGGGAGGCUGAGAUGGGCAGAUCACGAGGUCAGGGGUUCGAGACCAGCCUGGCCAACAAGGUGAAACACCGUCUCUAAUAAAAAUACAAAAAUUAGCCAGGCGUGGUGGUGCACGCCUGUAAUCCCAGCUACUUGGGAGGCUAAGGCAGGAGAAUCACUUGAACCUGGGAGGCGGAGGUUGCAGUGAGCCGAGGUUGCAUCACUGCACUCCAGCCUGGGCCACAGAGGGAGACUGUCAAAAAAAAAAAAGAAAAGAAAAAGAAAAAGAAAAGCCAGCCUGAGUUCUCUGUCCCCCGCUGUCCCAGCGUCUUCUUCCUCCACAUAAGAACUGAAGUGUGCCACGGUUGCUGGGAGAAGAUGGCAGCAGGGAACCCAGGGAUGAGGAGAGAAAACUCUGGCCGUGCAUCCCCGCCCCCAACAAGCUCAGGAAGGCUGGUGGGGUCAGAAGCCUGUCAGGCAAGAUGAUAGCAGGCGAGAGGAGGGUGGGAGUGGACUGACAUCACAGCUGGGGCGGCCUCUUGCUGGAGGCGAGGAUGCACGACAAAAGUCGCUGUGGGGCAGCUGAGGGCUGCUGGGGCUCCCUACCUAUGGGUUCUGCACGGUGGGGAGGGAGGCAUCCAUGUCCUCUGCCCUUUGCCCUCUGCCCUCUCUCAUCACCAUGCAGAUCCCCCGUGGCCUGACAUAGCUGCUGUCUUUCCCUGGCUGCUUCUUCACGGAGCCAAGUUAACUUUUGCAAUUCCUUUCUUCUCCUCUUGUCGAAGGCUCAUGUUUUCUCAGCCAUUCUGGGCACUUCCCUUUCAUUUCCUGGGAAAGAAAAGCUCAAUCUGUCUUCUCCCGACGGCAGUAAUCCUCUCUGUCGAGUUGUGAGUUGCUCACAUCCAUCCCACCAGAUCCAUCUGGUCCAGGCACCUUGUUGACUUUCUUAUUGGCUCUUUCUCUCGGCUGCGUUUGGCCUUCUGAUGCUUUUGAGAUUCCUUCUGCUCUGGUGGAGCCAUUUGUAAGGCUUCCCCUGGGUCCUCUGAAGCGUCUGCUGUUUUUCUCCUUCUCUGUUCCUCUUCCUAUGCUCUCUGUGUUUUCUAUUGUUCCGGCAGGCUUUCAUUGGUAGCAUAUGAUUUUUCAUUUUUUUCUUUGUAUUUGCUUAAUUUUGCUUUAUCCUUACAAAGGGUGGAAUUUUACUGUUCCCCACCCCCUGUGAUUGAUGGAAAAGAAUAUCAUACCAAUUGAUUGAGAUAAAAAAUUAGUGCGUCGCCAUAGAGAAGCCAAAUUAGCCACCAGAAGUAGGUGCACAGAGUAUUUUAAGAGUUUUUUUGAUUAAUUCUCAUGAUGUGAGGCCUUUUGACACAAAGUUUUAUGUGCUGCGAUGUGGGAGGAGGAAGAAGUGGUAACGGGUUAUUACAGGUUUUACUUUUACCUCUAGUUGAUUUAUUGGCCGACUCUUGCGGUAUGAAAUGAGGGCACUGCAGAUGUGAGGGUGUCUCCUUUUGGAGAGAACAAUUCCUGUGUGUGCGCGUGACCGUGUGUUUUCUAGAACGCAGGCUCAGGAUAUCAGGGACUAAGCCAAAAAGACUCAGAGUAGAAUUUUAGUGAAAAUGCCUACCGUUAUGGAAACAAAACAGCAAAAAGAGGCCCUUCUAACUCAGAUAGAUAUCACUCAGCACCUAAGAGUGACAGCUAAUCAAUUCUUUUAUCACCCUCCUAGAAGGAGAAAAUCCUAAUUUA
rnacentral:lncRNA from 1 species